rnacentral:rRNA from 1 species
UACGGGGGGGGGCAAGCGUGUUCGGAAUUACUGGGCGUAAAGGGCUCGUUAGGCGGCCAAACUAAGUCAGACGUGAAAAUCCCCUCGGCUUAACCGGGGGAACUGCGUCUGAUACUGGAUGGCUUAGGUUUGGGGAGAGGGAUGCGGAAUUCCAGGUGUAGCGGUGAAAAUGCUAGAUAUCUGGAGGAACACCGGUGGCGAAGGCGGCAUCCUGGGACCCAAAAUCUGACGCUGAGGGAGCGAAAAAGCCCAGGGGGG